UAGUUUCACAAUCAAUGCUCUUGCAAGCUGUGUCUACACAUCAAACCCUACGGAAGAGGAAUUCCUACUUAAUUUCUGCAAAGGUCUUCUAGGAAGUGAAUAUGAUUUAGAAAGUCACUGUAAAAUAUUCACAGAUGGAAGCGGCUCCGUUUGUCCAAAUGGAGAAUAUACAUUUGAAAGUGGAUAUCUACCUUGGGACGGUUGUGAACCGAAACUGUUAGAUAAUGCUUAUCACCCUAUAUUUCGCUGUGCAGAUGAAAAUGAUUGUGGAAAUGCAGACUAUGACAUAUAUCAUGUCUUUGAAGGCACCAAAUGUUUAAAUGAAGAUGGCACCAAAGGAGAUCAGGUCUGUUAUCGAGGCAAGUGUCGUUCUAAGAUAGAGUUGUGUGAGGAGUACGAAUAAGAAGACAAAGAAGAAGAAGACGUAGAACAAAGUAGUGAAGAACAGUCCGACAGCUCGUAAUCGUAAAAAAGAUUAUCGACCACUAACAAAGGACAGGAUAAACAAUUUCAAGAAUAACAUCGCUUUUGAAAAUGUUCAUCAUGGUCUUAUACUUCAAGUUGCAACUUGUAACAAAGAAUAGAAAUCGAACGAUUCUUUGCAUUAGGUUGUCAUCUGAAUCUUAUAGUGUUUUAUAUCAGAAAUGUGUCAUUAAAAGGAUUUUUCAAAAUAAUAUUCACAGAAUCAUGUAUCAUAAAACGAAUUCUACCCACGUAUCUGGUUUACUUUUAUUGCCAUAAUCAAAUAUGCUUUCUCGAUCUACGACACAAAAAACGAAUAUGUUUGCUUUGGAUAUGUAAAGAUGAGAAUGAAUGUUGUCCUACCACAUGUACGAAGUAUGCAAUGACUUCGAAGAUAAUUAAUUAAUUUCUUAACUAGCCG